ensembl:lncRNA
AUGUGCAGUUUGGGAUCUUUUGAACUGCUGGAACUCAACACUAGAGCAGGACUCAGAAUGGAGGACACAUCGCAACAAGAGAAACAAGAGUUGGAAUAUAAAAAUCCAAAUGAAGAGGAAGGUGGGAUCCGUCGCCGAUUGCGAGACAGGGACCUUCUCAGGAAGAGAAAGGCCGAAGCAGAAGAGAAGGAAACUAACCAGGUGGAGAGCCAACGGAAAAGAUCAAGAGCUGAGGACAAGAGCGGUGCGAAGAAGAGAGGGAGGCCCAGGAAGACUGAACCCACACCGCAGCUGUCUGCUGUUCAGGAAGAAGUCGAAGCACUUAAGGAAACUCCUGCAGUAGUGGUGGUACCCGAACCCGCUGUGGUCAUUCAGGACCAAAUAACCAGCUCUCUGCCUCCGCUGUUUGGGCUGGAAUCACAACCAGCUUCAGUCCUUGCUGCUCCUGCUCCUGCAGCAGUGUUCGAGUCUGUGCAGAAUUCAGCUCCUGCUCCAACUCUGGCUUUUGCUGCUCCAGUUCCCGUCCAAGAUUCAGCUCCUGCUCCAGAUGCUGUCUUAGUCCCAGCUCAGUCCCUAGACUCUGUUCCAGCUGUAACUCCUGCUCCUCCCUCAGCUCCUCCCCAAGUGGAGACCCUCUAUACAGAGUCACAAAGCAAGGAGGCCCCAGGCCAGGUCCUGAUUGAGGACUUAGGCCCAGAUGAGGAGGAGGACGUCUCUCCAUUGCAAGGCAACAAACGUGCUAAUGAAGAUUUGAGUGAAACACUUUCGAUCAACGUGCCUGAACAAAAUAACGUGUACUCAGUUCCAACUGUCUCUGCUCAGCCUAUGGCUCAGGAAUAUUUUCCAGGAAAUUAAUUGCAACAUUUUUUUUUUCUGAAAUGCACUGUUAAGAUAUUGCUUUAUACAUGCAAAGCCUCGUCACAGUUUGUAUCUGAGUAUUUUUCUUCUUCUUUUUUUGUGUAGUGUGCACACACAAGAUGAGGCAAGUCAUUGCUUAUUUGAAAGAUGUAUGAAUUCAAACCAAAGCUGUAUGCUUAUUUAUUUUGGUUGUGCUUCACUGCAAAGCUUAUGAUCUUUUUUUUAUAUACUUUCAAUUUAGUAUGCAACCAGUUUUGCUGGCCUUUAUUUAAAAGUUAAGGGUAUAAAUCGCUGGUAAUUAUGUAUUCAGAAUUGUGGAUUUAUUUUUACAGAAUUUUGUAAAAGUUACUAUUCGUCUAAUAAAAGUCACUUCUGCAUCAUUUAACAGCAGUCGUUAUUAUAGGAGUCAUCAGCUGUAAAAUACAUCCACACGCAAAUACAUGAGUGAUAUGAAUUAGAAUUAACUCUCUUUUCAUUAAAUGAAAUAAUUAUGUAACCAUUUUGUUCACAUAUGACAUCUCUCCACUCUGGUGAGUGAAAUUAAAUGAUGUUUGUUGUACAGUUUGAACAGCAUAUCUGUAGAUUUAAUCUGUGGCUUAUCUGUUAAGUCACGUGUAGUGAAACAUUUAGCCCUAUCUGCUAGUGGCUACUGGUAGUGCUUAUAAUGUACUCAUUUGUACUACAUAAAGAGGUGGAAAAAGUACUGGUAAAAGCUGCAAUAACUGAUUAAUUAGUGAAAUGACAGAAAAAAAGGUAAAAGAUGCUCUACUGGAUUGAAUGACUAUGGAGGCCAAAUUUAGUAAACGGAACUCACUGUGUUGUUGAAUAUACCAGGUUAAGAUGAUCUGAGCUUUGGGAGAUUAUGAUAUCCUGCUGGAGGUAGCCAACAGAAGAUGGGUACAGUGUGGUCAUAAAGGUGGACAUGGUCAGGAGCAGUACUUGGGUAGGCUGUUUAGAUGAUGCUCAGUUGGUACCAAGGGGACCAAAGUGUAUGAAAAAUAUCCUCCACACCAUUAAUCCACAAACAUCCUGAAUCACUGAUACAAGGUAGGAUGGAUCCAAAUUCUGGCCCUAACAUCUAAAUGUUGUAGAAGUAAUUGAGACUCAUCACACCAGGCAACAUUUUCCCCGAUUUUCCAUAGUGCUGAAUGAAUGUAUGUAGUGAAAAGUUUUAAUAUUCAACAACAGUGUUCAACAAACCAGGUUGAGGUGAUCUGAGCUUUGUAACCUGGCAUGAUUUACUUUUGUAAAUCAGCUGAUUUAAGGAUGCAAAAAAAAUAAAAAUAAAAAAAAUUGACAAGUUGAUUCUGUUCAUCUGGAUGUUGCGUUUUCAGUUGGAGAAAUGUUUUGUCACUCAAAACAGUGACUUCUUCAGUCUCUGAAAACUUCUCCCACUGAAAACACUAUGUCCAGAUGAACAGAAUGAACUUUUUCGAUUUCUCUACCUGGAUGAUUGAGCAUGCAUCAAGACAUUUUCACUAUUGAUUAACUAUCGCUUUAAUUUUUGCAAAUUGUAGCCUCAGCCAUUUGUUCUUAACUUAGAUGUGGUCUUCCGAUGCUGUAGCCUAUCUAGUUCAAGGUUCAAGAAAUGCUUUUCUGCAUAUCUUGUUUGUAACCAGUGGUUAUUUGUUGCCUUGUUGCUUUCCUAUAUGCUCCUCUGAAGAUUCUGCCAUCAAUAAGGCAUUCUUAUCCAGAGAACCGAAUAGUGUAGUGGUAAGACCACACACCUUUGGAGAGGAGGUCACAAGUUUGAUUUCCUCCCAGUGUCUAGUAAGGGUGCUGGCUAGGGCCCCCCCCCCCAUGCCAAACACCAAGCCCUGGAAUGGCACGGCUAUGUCUGCAGCCUGUCCACAGCUCGGACACGACACAUUUCACUGCAUGUUUUACUCUGUAUGAUUGUGUAUGUGACCAAUAAAGCUCGUUUCGUCUAAACUACCACUCAUUUGGACCAUUCUCUUUAAAACACCAAAUCGUCUGGCACAAAAAAGUCACUCUUAGAUCAACUUUCUUCCUAAUUCUUAUCUUAGUUUGAACUUCAGCAGGUCAUUUUAUUCACAUCUGCAUGCCUAAUGGACUGAGUUGCUGCCAAGUUGAACAAGUAUAUCUAAGAAAGUGAUCAGUGACUGUACAUAUGUUAGUGUAAUAUUAAUAUACAAGGCUUUAAUUAGUGAUUUCGAAAGAUUCAUUAGUGCUUAAGCUGCAAUGAUCCCCUGUAGGUGUUGAGGGGAGUUUAACUUCAAAUACCUAAAAUGACAAUUCAUUAUGUUUCUUUUUAAUUGUGUACAACCAAACCUGUUGAACAACUAGUCCAUUCAGAGCUAGAGAAAUGCAGGAUAUGCACAUGUACCGAUAAAGACAACACGACUAAGUAUAUACGACAUUACAUUGAUUUCGUUUGUGCUAUGGUUUGCCAAUAUGUAUGUAUUUAUUUAUUUAUUUAAAAGGCAGACUGUAUUAAACGUGUCUUGGCUGCCCCCUGUUGGUAGAAAACAUUCCUUCAUCAUGGCGUGUUUUGUGCAGCACAUGUAACUACAUAUUAUUUUUAAAUGACGGACGGGUAAUUUAAGCGAAACGGCAGCAAAAUAAGCCUGAAACCAACGAGCCCACAGCAAUGACACACUUACAGAAGGGAUUCAGAUGAGCCGACAUGUUUCAGUUUAACGCGUGAAGCACUCUUGGUUGGCCAACAAUAAAGUCUAGCAUGCACUUCCGCGUUGACAAAGUCUGUCCGGUCUCAGCAGCAACAACAGCCGCUAAAAGCUUACGGUUUCAGAGUUGUCGUUUGUCUUUAUGUUAGUAAGAUGAGUCCGCUGUGUGAGUGCUGCUCCGAGCACAUGAAUAAACUGAACCAGCAGGUUUCUGUGAUGCGAAAAGAAAUCAAGAACCUGAG